AUACUUAUCGUCCGAAAAACUCAUUGCUUUUCCAAAAGUGAUGUUAUUCCACCGAGUGGGAAAUGCGUCUGCUGCGCUAGUAUUGUAUUUUCGGAAAUUUUGUGUUUCCAUGAUUUUGCGGUUGUAUUCUCUGGAAUGCCUGGGAAAAUUGGAUAGUUGGGAACGAUAAGAGACCAAGGGGAGUGAGCGGCGCGCUGUGUGACGUCACUGGUGCUGCCAUGGCCGGCGGCAUCCUGUCCUCCAGCAUGGACGAUCUGCUGCCGAGCUCGGUGGACGAGCUGUGCCGUAACCCGCUGCUCUGCCCGCUGUGUAACCAGGUGUACGACGAACCGUGCCUGCUGGUGUGUUUUCACUCGUUCUGCGCCAAGUGUUUGCGGGUGCGUGUGGUGGACGGACGGCUGAGCUGCACCAUCUGCAG